rnacentral:misc_RNA from 1 species
CCGAGUUUACAACUCCCAAACCCAUGUGAAUCUACCUAUGUUGCCUCGGUGGGAGCCUACCCUGUACCUACCCUAUAACGGGCUGGCUACUGGGCAUGCCCCGCCGGUGGACCACUAAACUCUUGUUAUUUUAUGUAAUCUGAGAGUCUUAUUUUAAAUAAGUCA